CAUUUUUACCCCCAUCAAGCAAUCAAUCCAGAAUUCCUUUCCAGUCAAAACUUGUUCAGAAAUGGGCUUUACAGGAGUUUGCUGAGAGGAAGGACAAUGGGAAGAUGGCUGAAGGAUCAAAAGGAGAG